GAUCGUUUGCCUCUGUAAAACCAGUUGAUUGGUCUGUGUUACAUAACACUAUGACCCUAGGUUAUAUUAGACUCCCGGAAGGGUCCAGAAUGAGCAAUCAUGUAUAAAGCACCUAUUAGGUGGCAAGCGCAGUGCUAAGCACAGUAACAUCAAAAUCAGCACCUGUGUUCAUUCAGUGCCUGUUAAGUAUCACGCAGAGCUAAGCAUGUACACCUACGGGUCCAUAAACUGAACUAGUUUCCAGACGUGGGAUAGGUAGUCCAAAUAUCACAGUGAAUCUUUAAAGACUUAAGAAUGCCAAAAAUUUACUGAGGCUUCCUGAUUUGGGAAUGCAGGAUGGUCGGUACCAGCCUGGAUUGGAGCACACAGCCCAAUAUUCCUGAAGGGCAGAGCAUCGGAGCCCAGAAAGCCAUCCUGGCAACUGCUGAUGUCGUUCGUUCUCUGUGGUCUUCAUGUCACUGCUGUUUGUAGCAUGGAGAGACUCCUUGAGAGGCGUCGAAUGUGCAAGUUGAAAAUGCCCAAGGUAGCCGUUGCCACUCCCUGGAGUGCCCCCUAUUCAUCUGUCUCUGUUUGAAUCUCAUCAGGAAUUCUGAUACUGUCUUUGGACCUUGGCCCCAAAACCGUGUCUCAAAAUAAUGUCGCUGUGUUCUCGUAACGUUAUUAAUUCUGUGCACCCAGUGCUUUUGAAACUCGUCUACUUUACAAAUGCUCAAGGAAAUUUCAUUGCCUCGUUUUGAAGCUCCUCCCUCCUGUGCUGUCAUUAGUGAAUAAUGGGGGAACCAAGACCCACAGGGUGUGGUUAUUACUAACGAGACCUUGGGUGUUUCACAAGCUCACUUGGAAUGAACUUGAGGCCGUUCGUACAUAGUCACUCAUUUUUCCUUACCACGGCUGGGUUGAGAGACCCAGAUUCUAUUCUUGGGCCCUAACUUCUUGGGAAAAGCAUUUAGCCACUAAUUGUCUCAGUUCCCAACUAUGAAACAGGAAGAGUGAUAGAAGGAUAUUUGCUUUCCCCUCUCCCUAUCCUUAGCUUUAGAACCUAAGUAGCUUUUAAAGUAUCUGACAAACCUGAAACGUCUAAAAGUGAAGAAGGAUUUGUAUCUUGACUUUAUGACCAUUCAUGAAAAGGUGACAUACAGUCUUAGAAGUCUGACUGGAAACCCUGAAGUCUGAAUUGGAAUCCAAAGGAUGGCUCACCACCUUGAGUACUUCUCUCAUUUACACUGGAAAGAGCUUAGAGAUCCAGAGAUGGUGAAGACUGUAAAAGGAGCCCCACCUUCUGAAGAGCAUUAAUUUGGUCAGCAAAAGUGUCUUCAGGAUUAGAGAUCUCCCAGACUCCUAGGGUUAAUCCCCAGGACAACCUUGCUUUAAAAGAAAAAAUGUGGUGAGCCUUCUUGAAGAUUUGGAUCCCAGAGGUCUCUGUCCUGCCUCAGCCAGACCCCAGACAGCCGGCUCAAGAAGAUGGACAUGUACAGAGAAAUAAGCAAUGUGUGGAGUCAUGUAGGAGACAUGUCUUUAGAUUCCACAGGGCCCCUUCUCUAGAGGAUAUGGCGAUGGAUGAUGUCCUUAUUUUCACCAAAAGAAUAUAAGCUGAUAUUGAAGAGUCACUGAGUUGUCCAGGUUGAACAGCCAGUUCAUGACUGAGAUAAUACCUGACCCCAGGUUCCUGACUCUAACACAACUCCCUUUUUUUGCUACACAAAGCUGUCACAAGGAAAUGGAAAAUGUAACUAUCUUCAAAUCAAGAGACAACCAACAUCCACUGUGGGUGUAAUUUUUUUCAAGCAAGAAUUGAAUUUGGACCAAUUUGAAUUCCAUGCACUCAGAUUUUUCUUCUAGUCACAUGUGAACACUAUAGAUUCAUUUUGUUACAGUGACACUUCUUUUUUGAAAAACAUACAUUAUACAUAUAUAACUAGAGAGAGAGUUCAGUUCCCUGGGAGCCUUAACUGCAUUCUUACAAAUUCAAAAAUCAAUAUACAUAUGUUAAACCCCACAUAGACCUAUGAAGGACACUUUACCUUUUAACUGAAACUACUCAAUAGCAGAAACAGUAGUGGGAAGAGAAAAUAAGAGUGCAUUGUGCUCCCACACUCUCUGUCUCCACCCACCUUAUUACAUGACAUUCCAUUAAGUUCAACAUUUCACAGUACAGGUAAGAAUUGCCAGUCUGUUCCCAGAAGAAAAGCUGACUCCGAAAAAUAACCACUAUAAAAAAAGGUUACCUUUCUUAGCUACCACCACCUUCCAUGUUUAGAUUCUCCUCAAAGAACAAGAGAAUCCAGAACCAUGAAACAUCUCUUCCACUCUUUCCAUCCAUGUCAGACCACAUAGUGAAAAAGUGCCUUUCCAUUUUCUUAAGGCAUCAGAAUUAAACUAAUGUUCACACACUUCCUUCAGAACUCAUUUCAGAGUCUGAGAGCCUACACAGUUGGGAAACUGUUUUAUUUCUAUCCCAAAUCCCUCACGUUGUAGUUUAAUCCCAUUUUCUCUUGUUUCCUGUGGAGAGAAAGAACAGCUGGUCUCCAUUCUCUCUUAACUCAAUCCCUUCAAGUCCUUAAAGACACCUACGUCCCAGCCUUCUCUUCUCUGGAAUAAAUAAUAGCAGUUCCGAUCAGGAAAAUGUCUCUUUUGGAUUGUGCAUGUUCACUGCCUUAUCACAUAGAUCCAUGCUCAUCACAUAGUUUUCAUAACUAAAACUGAGCCAAGGCCAAGAGGAAAAACAAGCAAAUGUAUCAUUGUUUUCAUAAAUGAAGUUACAGGUCCAAUAAUAGAUGCUGAAUACAUAGUCUUGAGUGAUAAUCUUCCAAUAAUUAUGUGCCAAAAUUAUCAUACUUUCUUUUAGAAAGUAUUGGCAAUCUGUUGCUUUUGGAGAGAUGAAUUAAAAAUGCAAUGGUUAGGUUUCAAUUUCCUUUAUGCAAGUUCUCCCCAUGCCCUGCGAUGGAAUAUUCCAUUCAGCAUUCCACAGCAGGACCCACCAUUGCUUUGACAAAAAUAGAUACAGUAUUGGAACAUUCAGUCAAUGGAGUAAUCCAAUUGUCUGAACAUUCUUUUCUGCUUUGUCAUUUACAUUUUAAUAAAUCCCAGAAUAUGUCAAGCUGUAUCCAGUUGUACCAAGUGUAGCUAAUAACAUGCAGUUACCAGAUACAAAGAGGAAAUCAUAACAUGCAAGUCCAGAAAUGUAUCAAUAUUUGGUUUGUGUAUAUUUUUAGGGCCCUACAUUCUGAAUAGUGAUACUUUUAAAAAUAAAAAAAAAGGAUGUUUAGCAAAAUAUUUGCUAUUAUCAACAUUCUGUUGGUGUUCAGUGUUCAUAGAGGAAGCUGUUGUGGGGAGGGGGCUCUACUUAAUUGAGGUAGGAAUGCUAGUAUCUGUUAACCCUAAGGAUAAAACUAUAUAGUGAGCAAAACGUGGAAUGUUAAAUUAUCAUCCUAUGCCUAUUUUUCUUCCAGUUUACUGUCUCAAUUGAGGGGGCCCAGAUAAUCACAUUUUGAAGUCUUUUGACCUUGAUACCAAGAGUUCAAGCAAACCAGUCCUGAAAAAGAUUGUAUGUGUGUGUGAUUAUUAUUAACCUAUAUGCAUAACAUACCCUAUGCAAAUAUCGGCCACGAAUUGUUUCCACAUUUGAGAGAUCUUUUAUCCUGGUUUUACAAAGCCCACUGAAUUUUUACAAUGUUAGAGCUACAGUGAUGGUGGAGUGAUCGUCUCAGCAUGUUGGGGAUCCCUAAAUGGCAGGUAUGUGCCUGGAGAGGAGGAGGCUUCUUCAAGGCUGAGACUAUUGGGAGAAAGUACAACUUAACUCUGCUUAUAACCUUUGUACCUAAUGGUCUAAGUCACUUAAGUUAGCCCAUCACAAACUCUCACUUUAGACUUCUCUCAUACCUCUUGGUGGUUAAUCGAUUGCCCUUGCGAUAUGAGCUGCCAAAGGACCAGGAUUAUUUCUUGACGUUAGGUAAAUCUGAUUAGUUUUAAACUUGUAAUAAAUUCAAGAACUAAAAGGACCAUUUAUCUUUUGCUAAUGCUUAGAGCAGUUGAAAUGCUUGCCGCAGGGAUUGUGAACCGCACACUGCUGUCACUACGUGGGGUCAAGUAUUGUGUUGAGAAGGAUAUCAUAGCUUACGGGAGUGGAAUGGAGAAAACUAAAUGGCAGUGGCAUUGUAAUGCACAAGUGAGGUCAUCAGCAUUUCUUGAUUCCCAGAGUUUUCUUGUACUGUGCCCCCCCGUGUGAUAACUGGUAAAUAUAGUAGAAAAGGAUGCACCAGCCAAGAGUGGAAUGAUCACAAUAUUUUGAAGACUUUUAGAGAAUGACCCUUCAAAUUUUCCCAUUCACUUAGAAUAUGGUCAAACGUUUGUUCUCAUAAAGUACUACCAUGAUUAUGUAACAAUGGGUUAUGGCUUUGGAUGGCAUGCAGUGAACUUGAAUUAAUCAAUGAAUGAUCUCAGUCAACAUUAGGGAGAAUUUUAGGAGGUAUGUCAGAUAGUGGAGGUCAAAAGGCACAGUGGAAAGUUCUAUUUUUGUAAAUCAAAGGUCUCCCAUUCUAGAUCUAACUCUAUGGGUAAUUCUUUAACUUUUCUGGAGUCGAGGUAGCUCUUUUGUAAAAUGAGAAACAUGGUAGGGGAGUCGUUCUUACAUCACAAAGAGACGUCAAAAGUAAAUAUGAUAAAAUGUAUUAAGUCUCUUAUUGCUUUUUAAUAUUCUCUCCUUGCCUUUAACUUUUGACAUUUUAAUUCUGUAAAGUAUCCUGGUGUAGAUCUCCUUUGGCUCAUCUUAUUUGGGCUUCCUGGACCUGGAUAUCUGUUUCCUUCUCCAGGUUAGGGAAGUUUUCGGCUCUUAUUUAAUCAAAUAAGAUUUCUUCCUUUUUCUGUCUCUGUUUUCUCCUUUUGGGAUCCUUUUAAUGCAAAUGUGAGUCCAUUUGAUGUCCCAAAAGCCCAUUAAGUUAUCUUCACUUUUUUCAUCCUUUUUGCUGCUCUAAUUGGGUGAAUUCCAUUGCCUUGUCUUUGAGUGACUGAUCAUUUCUUCUGCUUUAUCUAAUCUGCUGUUGAACCCCUCUAGUGUAUUUUUCUGUUCAGUUAUUGUAUUUUUGAGCGCUGUGACUUCUAUUUUGUACUUUCCUGUAUAUUUAUUCCUUUGAAAUUUUU